AUUUUGAGAAUGCGGAAAUGGUGUCUCAUAGAACCGAAAAUGAUUUAAAUGCAACAUUUCUGAUCAAAAUCACAUAGGGAUUCCCCCCCCCCCUAGCAUCACAGAGAGGAAAUAAGGUGACACUGACCCCUCCUCCUAGUCUCCUCAAGGUGACUUUUCCAAUUUAUUUAAUUCCGAGUAGAAAUGUCUGGAAAAAUUCAUGUCUUCGAUGUACUUUAUAAUCUUCGGAACUCUUCGGAAUUUCACUCCCAAAAUGCUUGAAAUCGCUUGCAAUUCAAGGACCCUAGAUUUGAAAAUUUCCCCGGGGGUGCAUGCCCCCGGACCCUCCUAGACUGUUCGACCCCCCCCCCAAAAAAAAUAAAAAAAUUAAGGUCUGGCUACGACACUGGUUAUAGCUGUACGAUUAUAGCUACAAAGGAUUGAAGUUAUUGUCUAUAUAGGAGAAGUUAAUAAAUUCAAGUUUUACAAAAUCUCUCUUCAGACUCGCGUGUUCGCCAAACUUCGAUGGGUC